rnacentral:tRNA from 1 species
UUAUAGUGUAGUGGUUAUCGCGUGCGAUCUACAAAACAUCUAUGCCUGAUGGGCGUGGGUUCGAAUCUCUGC